GCUGUCUAGUUGCCUAAAAAGCAAUUGAUAGCAAGGGCCGGGCAAGACCGGUGCCAGCCGCCGCGGUAACACCGGCGGCUCGAGUGGUAACCGCUAUUAUUUGGUCUAAAGGGUCUGUAGCCGGCUUAGUCAGUCUCUUGAGAAAUCUGGCCGCUCAACGGUCAGGCGUUCAGGGGAUACUGCUAAAGCUCGAGACCGGGAGAGGUGAGAGGUACUUCAGGGGUAGGGGUGAAAUCUUGUAAUCCUUGAAGGACCACCAGUGGCGAAGGCGUCUCACCAGAACGGAUCUGACGGCAAGGGACGAAAGCUAGGGGCACGAACCGGAUUAGAUACCCGGGUAGUCCUAGCCGUAAACGAUACUCGCUAGGUGUCGGCCACGGUGCGACCGUGGUCGGUGCCGUAGGGAAGCCGUGAAGCGAGCCACCUGGGAAGUACGGCCGCAAGGCUGAAACUUAAAGGAAUUGGCGGGGGAGCACUACAACGGGUGGAGCUUGCGGUUUAAUUGGAUUCAACGCCGGAAAUCUUACCGGGGCCGACAGCGAUAUGAAGGCCAGGCUAAGGACCUUGCCCGAUUAGCUGAGAGGUGGUGCAUGGCC
rnacentral:rRNA from 1 species